rnacentral:rRNA from 1 species
CCUACGGGUGGCAGCAGUCGAGAAUCAUUCACAAUGGGGGAAACCCUGAUGGUGCGACGCCGCGUGGGGGAAUGAAGGUCUUCGGAUUUUAAACCCCUGUCAUGUGGGAGCAAAUUAAAAAGAUAGUACCACAAGAGGAAGAGACGGCUAACUCUGUGCCAGCAGCCGCGGUAAUACAGAGGUCUCAAGCGUUGUUCGGAAUCACUGGGCGUAAAGCGUGCGUAGGCUGUUUCGUAAGUCGUGUGUGAAAGGCGUGGGCUCAACCCGCGGACGGCACAUGAUACUGCGAGACUAGAGUAAUGGAGGGGGAACCGGAACUCUCGGUGUAGCAGUGAAAUGCGUAGAUAUCGAGAGGAACACUAGUGGCGAAGGCGGGUUUCUGGACAUUAACUGACGCUGAGGCACGAAGGCCAGGGGAGCGAAAGGGAUUAGAUACCCGUGUAGUC